rfam:Advenella mimigardefordensis DPN7, complete genome.
GCCCAGGUGGCGGAAUUGGUAGACGCGCAUGGUUCAGGUCCAUGUGCCUUCGGGUGUGGGGGUUCGAGUCCCCCCUUGGGCA